UUGUACUACAAGUUACAUGGAUGUAAUUGUUUUCACUGUUUAUGUCCAUUCUUGUUAAGCGCACAAGCGUGUUAUGCCACAGAGCUUUAUGUUGUGUUUUGCAGUUUUUCUCUCUCUCACCUCUUCCUGCAAUGUGCGAGUGCGACAGGCAGACGCACCACAUAGCUGAUACUCAUCUGGGAUAAUCAGUGAACAGCUUUUAAGCAGCAGGAACCCUAAAGGAGGCGUCAGAUUGUUAUCUCACCAGAGUGAGUGGGUACUCCCUGCAGAACCUGAUCUGGAUUUUCUCAGCCCAUCAGGGGCGACUGUGGCUCAGUGAGAAGAGUGGUCGUCUUGCAAUCCGAGGGUUGUGGCUUCCUCCUGUUACAUGUCAAUGUGCCCCUGGGCAAGGCACUUAACCUCGAAUUGCCUACCGAUCUGCGUAUUAGUGAAUGAAUGUGUGCGCUUUAUUGAGUGUGUCUGGGUGCAUGUGGCUCUAGUGUAAAGCACUUUGAGUGGUUAGUAUGACUGGAAAGGCUCUAUGUAAGUUCAGUCCAUUUACCAUGGUCCUGGACCAAGUCUGCAUUCUACUUAGAGCACUUAAUGGUGCUUGCCCGACCAAGUGCCUCUUUUGACUUCCUGAAACCUACAGCAUAAGUACUUACCUCAUCUUAUGUGAUCCAUCCUGAUAUCCUCCUGCCUGUCCACCCUCCAACUCCACACACCACCAACUGGAUAAGAACUGAGUGAGGGAGCCUCAAUCACUGCACCACAGCAUCCCCUUUCAACCUCAGUCUUCGUGGAUUGACUUACCUUUCCUCCCAGAAACAUCAACCAAACGUCCCUAGACUUUGGAGAUCGGGAGCUUCUCGCCAUAAAACUGACCCUGGAAGAAUGGCGACACUGGCUGGAGGGCACUAGUCACCCCAUUUUAAUCUAGACUGAUCACCAAAACCUCUCCUACCUCCAGUCAGCUAAGCCUCUCAAUUCUCUUCAGUCCUGCUUGUCAUUAUUCUUCUCUUGGUUUAACUUCACUAUUACUUUUUGCCCUGAAUGCACCCUCACGCCAGUUUUCCCUAUUCCUUGUUUUCCUUGUUUUCAUUCCACAGUAUUGCAUUGUUGGGCUUUUCUCCUGGAAUCUGGAGGAUCAGAUCUGCAGAGCUCAACAACAUGAACCAGACCCAGGUGGGGGACCUCCCUUCCAAAAUCAUGUCACAGGUUAUCCAUUGGGCACACUCCUCCUGGAGUCCAGGGUCCAGUCAAACUAUCGUCUUCCUUUGUCGCUACGUCUGGUGGCUAUCUCUCAACAGAGAUGUAAUGUCAUAUGUGGCAGCCCACAAUAAAAACUCCCACAAACCUCCUGCUGGCUUCUUACAACCACUCUCCAUCCCCAAUCGACCUUGGUCUCACAUUGCACUCGACCUCGUUACAGGUUUGCCUCCAUCUAAAACCAAAACAGUCAUUCUCUCCAUAAUUGACGGUUUUUCUAAGGCCUGUCACCUAAUCACUCUUUCCAAACUUCCAUCUGCAUCUGUUACAGCCAAAUUACUAAUUUAUCUUGCUCUCAGGUUUUCCUCAAGUUUUCACCCCCGAACCAAUGGCCAGUGUGAACAUCUCAAUAAGGAGAUGGAGAAUACCCUGCGAGUUCUCUGCACCAACAAUCCCACUUCCUGGAGUCAUCAUCUUGUCUGGACGGAGUACGCAUACAACUCCCAUGUCUCCGCAGCAUCCAGGUUAACUCCCUUUGAAUCAUCCCUUGGAUACCAACCUUCACUCCUUCCCUCGUCCUUCCCAGAACUGGUCCAACCUUUGGUCCGAGCACAUCUAUAACGUGGCCGUAGGAUGUGGAAUCAGACCAAGACGGCAGUAUUCAUCUUUUCAAAAUAAGACAUUUGCUGACAGGAAGAGAGUUCCAGCUCCCACCUAUUCGCCUGGACAAGAGGUUUUUUGUCUUCUAAGAACCUUUCCAUUUAAAGCAUACUCUAGAAAACUUCCUCCAAGAUUUCUUGGCCCGUUCAAAGUAGACUUCAUCAUCAGUCCUUCCUGUGUUUGCCUUAAGCUCCUUUCUCAUCUCUGUGUUCAUCCUGCUUUCCAUGUCUCUCAGAUCAAACCGGUACAAUCCAAUCCUUUGUGCCCUCCAGCCAGACCCUCUCCACCGACCCGGGAAAUCGACGUCCCUCCGUAGAGGGCGUGGCAUACAGUACCUCGUCGACUGGGAGGGCUCUGGUCCUAAGGAUCGACAUUGGGUGCCCUGCAGAUACGUCCUCGACCCCACUCUCAUCACUGAUUUUGAGGCAUCCUCUCCAUCUACCUCUGGACGACCUGCCUGGAGGUCUCCAUUGAGGGGUGAUGUCAUACCACGAAGCUGAGCACAGGUUUGUGUUGUGUUUGUGCAGUUUUUCUCUCUCUUACCUCUUCCUGCAGGGUGCGGCAGGCAGGCGCAACCACUCAGCUGAUACUCAUCUGGUCUAAUCAGCGAACAGCUUUAAAGCAGGCGUUAGAUUGUUAUCUCACCAGAGUGGUAAUUGGACAAGCAGACAUUGCUCUGUUUCUCUUGUGUGUCUCAACCUCGUUUCUGACAUCAGUUUUUGUGUUCCUCUCUCCCAGAACAGAUACUCCAUGCAGAACCUAAUCUGGAUUUUCUCAGCCCAUGGUCCUGGUUCAAGUCUGCAUUCCGCUUAGACUUGAACUAGAGUUGACGGCGCUUGCGUAACAGAGCCUCCUUUGACUUCCUGAAACCUACAGCAUAAGGAAAAUACUUACCUCAUCUUAGGUGAUCCAUCUUGAUAUCCUGCCUGUCCACCCUCCAACUCCACACACCACCCGCUGGAUAAGAACAGAGACAGAAAGCCUUAUUAACUGCACCACAGCCUCCCCAUUUUCUGUCGUCUGACCACUGCAUUCUGCCUACUCACUCGCUGGGUUUGCAAACCUGAUAACCCGUUCCUGUGUUAUGUUAACCUGCUGUCGCCAGACAAUCACGCUGAGAAGCUGCAAAUCAGUUUCCUUAUUCUCCAAUGGAUUGUGAGAAGAGGUUCCUGAGCCUGCCGCUGGUGGUUUCCUGCAGAACAUCACCCAGAGCUUUCAAUAAACCUUUUGAUUUUGA